UCCAUUAUGUUAAUUUAGGAAAUGUUAUCUAGAAGUAAUACAGGUAAAUAAAAAAUUGCAGUUAUCUCAGCAGCAGAAAGAGGUUUAAAAUCAUAGAAUCAUUAAAUUUGGAAAAUAUCUUCAAGGUCAUCAAGUCCAACCUUUGAUCACCAGCAUGUCAAUAAAAACAUAGCUCUAACUGCCAGUUCUAGCUUUUCCUUGAACUCUUCCAGAGAGCGUAACUGCAUGACUCCCUGGGCAGCUUAUUCCAAAUUUUGACAACUCCUUCAGUGAAGAAAUUCUUCCAGAUAUCCAACCUGAACCUCCCUUGGCAUAGCUUAAGGCCAUUUCCUCUUGUACUGUCACCAACAGUACAAGUACAUUUCCUUAUGCACUAUUAGGGUUGCCUAACAGAAAAGGCCAUUCCCCACGUGGCUACAGUCUCCUUUCAGGAAGUCAUAGAGAGUGAUAGGGUCCGCCCCUCCUUUAUUCUAGGUUAAACAACCCCAGCUCCCACAGCCACUCCUCGUAAGACUUUCUAGACCCUUCACGAGCUCUGCUGUCCUCCUCUGGACUCAUUCCAUCAUCUCAAUGUCUUUUCUGAGUUGAGGGGCCCAGAACUGGACAACCAGUACUUGAGUUGCUUAGGGACACUAUGCUGCUGACAAAGAAAGAUUUCCCAAACAAGGCAUCCUUGCCCUGAAGGCAGUACAUCAGCAAAUGUCAGGUCAUGCGGGCAGCCCCUUCAGUGUGCUAACUGAAGGGGGUUACUUCAUAAUGGUAAUGUCAUCAUGAUUGAUAUAAAGACAUCUUCUAUGUGAAGGCAAGUACUUGGAAGAUGCCUAUAGGUAUCUACUGUAGAUAAAUCACAACCUUAUUUCAAGCCAUUUUUAUGGAAGAAGAACAGACUAGGGAACAAUUCACUAUCUAGUCCAACUAGAUAGAAGUGAAUUGGGUGAGAUCUGCAUUUAAUUACAGAAGACCUAAAAGUGAGAAGAUUAACUAUUCUAUCCUAGAGAGGAACAUGAAGCUUUUUUUGAGCUUAGAGAUGCCAAAAGGAGUAUUGGAUAUUCUUACGCCAUACCAGCUAAAGAGAGAAACAUGAAAGUUUGGAACCCAGCCUGAAGA